GCAGUCGAGCGGACCGAAGGGAGCUUGCUCUUUUAGGUUAGCGGCGGACGGGUGAGUAACACGUGGGCAACCUGCCCUGCAGACUGGGAUAACUUCGGGAAACCGGAGCUAAUACCGGAUAACACCGAAAACCGCAUGGUUUUCGGUUGAAAGGCGGCUUUUAGCUGUCACUGCAGGAUGGGCCCGCGGCGCAUUAGCUAGUUGGUGAGGUAACGGCUCACCAAGGCGACGAUGCGUAGCCGACCUGAGAGGGUGACCGGCCACACUGGGGCUGAGACACGGCCCAGACUCCUACGGGAGGCAGCAGUAGGGAAUCUUCCGCAAUGGACGAAAGUCUGACGGAGCAACGCCGCGUGAGCGAAGAAGGUCUUCGGAUCGUAAAGCUCUGUUGUCAGGGAAGAACAAGUACCGUUCGAACAGGGCGGUACCUUGACGGUACCUGACGAGGAAGCCACGGCUAACUACGUGCCAGCAGCCGCGGUAAU
rnacentral:rRNA from 1 species